rnacentral:rRNA from 1 species
AUUGAACGCUGGCGGCAGGCUUAACACAUGCAAGUCGAGCGAGCGGCAGAAGGGUGAGUAACGUCUGGAAAAGUGCCUGAUGUAUGGGGACGACUACUGGAAAGGGUAGCUAAUACCGCAAUUCAACAGAUGUGUCCAGAUGGGAUUUGCUAGUAGGUGGGGUAAUGGCUCACGUAGGCGACGAUCCCUAGCUGCUGUGAGAGGAUGAGCAGACAACCUGGAACUGAGACACGGUCCAGACUCCUACGGUAGGCAGCAGUGGGGAAUAUUGCACAAUGGGCGCAAGCCUGAUGCAGCCAUGCCGCGUGUGUGAAGAAGGCCUUCGGGUUGUAAAGCACUUUCAGCGAGGAGGCGUUACUCGCAGAAGAAGCACCGGCUAACUCCGUGCCAGCAGCCGCGGUAAUUC